GAUGAACGCUGGCGGCGUGCCUAAUACAUGCAAGUCGAGCGAACAGACGAGGAGCUUGCUCCUCUGACGUUAGCGGCGGACGGGAGAGUAACACGUGGAUAACCUACCUAUAAGACUGGGAUAACUUCGGGAAACCGGAGCUAAUACCGGAUAAUAUAUUGAACCGCAUGGUUCAAUAGUGAAAGACGGUUUUGCUGUCACUUAUAGAUGGAUCCGCGCCGCAUUAGUUAGUUGGUAAGGUAACGGCUUACCAAGGCAACGAUGCUUAGCCGACCUGAGAGGGUCGUCGCCCACACUGGAUCUGAGACACGGUCCAGACUCCGACGGGAGGAAGCGGUAGGGAAUCUUCCGCAAUGGGCGAAAGCCUGACGGUGCAACGCCGCGUGAGUGCUGAAGGUCUUCGGAUCGUAAAACUCUGUUAUUAGGAGAGAACAAAUGUGUAAGUAACUAUGCACGUCUUGACGGUACCUAAUCAGAAAGCCACGGCUAACUACGUG
rnacentral:rRNA from 1 species